rnacentral:rRNA from 1 species
UACGUAGGGUGCAAGCGUUGUCCGGAAUUAUUGGGCGUAAAGAGCUCGUAGGCGGUUUGUCACGUCGGAUGUGAAAAUCCGGGGCUUAACCCCGGACCUGCAUUCGAUACGGGCUGACUAGAGUUCGGCAGGGGAGACUGGAAUUCCUGGUGUAGCGGUGGAAUGCGUAGAUAUCAGGAAGAACACCGGUGGCGAAGGCGGCUCGCUGGGCCAGUUCUGACACUCAUCCGCGAAAGCGUGGGGAGCAAACAGG